rnacentral:sRNA from 1 species
UGACCCUUCUUAAGCCGAGGGUCACCUAGCCAACUGACGUUGUUAGUGAAUGAAUAUUUGUUCACAAUAAAUUACGGCCGGUCACCAAUAUUGUGGCUGGCUAUUUUUUU